GAUGAACGCUGGCGGCGUGCCUAAUACAUGCGAGUCGAGCGAACGGACGAGAAGCUUGCUUUUCUGAUGUUAGCGGCGGACGGGUGAGUAACACGUGGAUAACCUACCUAUAAGACUGGGAUAACUUCGGGAAACCGGAGCUAAUACCGGAUAAUAUUUUGAACCGCAUGGUUCAAAAGUGAAAGACGGUCUUGCUGUCACUUAUAGAUGGAUCCGCGCUGCAUUAGCUAGUUGGUAAGGUAACGGCUUACCAAGGCAACGAUGCAUAGCCGACCUGAGAGGGUGAUCGGCCACACUGGAACUGAGACACGGUCCAGACUCCUACGGGAGGCAGCAGUAGGGAAUCUUCCGCAAUGGGCGAAAGCCUGACGGAGCAACGCCGCGUGAGUGAUGAAGGUCUUCGGAUCGUAAAACUCUGUUAUUAGGGAAGAACAUAUGUGUAAGUAACUGUGCACAUCUUGACGGUACCUACUCAGAAAGCCACGGCUAACUACGUG
rnacentral:rRNA from 1 species